rnacentral:rRNA from 1 species
AAAAUCCGGCAUCAGAGCUGAAACCUGAAAGUACGGGGUCCCCUUCGGGGGAACCUGAGAGCGAGGGUAACCAUACUCCCGAGAAAAUGGGCUAAACUCAUGUUGGCGGUACCCGUACCGCAAACCGACACAGGUAGUUGGGUAGAACAUACUAAGGCGUUGAGAGAUUCAUGGCUAAGGAACUAGGCAAACUGACCCCGUAACUUCGGGAUAAGGGGUCCUCACCUCCGGGUGAGGCGCAGAGAAUAGGUCCAGGCAACUGUUUAACAAAAACACAGGGCUGUGCGAACUCGAAAGAUGAAGUAUACAGCCUGACACCUGCCCGGUGCCGGAAGGUUAAGAGGAGAUGUCACCGCAAGGGAAGCAUUGAAUUGAAGCCCCGGUAAACGGCGGCCGUAACAAUAACGGUCCUAAGGUAGCGAAAUUCCUUGUCGGGUAAGUUCCGACCUGCACGAAUGGUGUAAUGAUCCGGACGCUGUCUCGGCCAUGAGCUCAGUGAAAUUGUAGUAUCGGUGAAGAUGCCGAUUACCCGCGAUGGGACGAAAAGACCCCGUGAACCUUUACUACAGCUUAGCAUUGACCUUGGUCAUCCGAUGUGUAGGAUAGGCCGGAGGCUUCGAAGCGGCGUCGCCAGGCGUUGUGGAGCCAUCCUUGAAAUACGGCCCUUUGGCUGUCUGAGGUCUAACGUGCGAUGUGCGGACACUGCUUGGUGGGUAGUUUGACUGGGGUGGUCGCCUCCAAAAGCGUAACGGAGGCUUCCAAAGGUGCCCUCGGGCCGUUUGGUAAGCGGCCUUCAAGAGUGCAAUGGCAAAAGGGCGCUUGACUGGGAGGGAGACAUCCCGAGCAGGCAGGAAACUGGGGCAUAGUGAUCCGGCGGAUGUGUAUGGAAACUCCGUCGCUCAAAGGAUAAAAGGUACUCCCGGGAUAACAGGCUGAUCCCCCCCAAGAGCUCAUAUCGACGGGGUGGUUUGGCACCUCGAUGUCGGCUCGUCACAUCCUGGGGCUGGAGAAGGUCCCAAGGGUUGGGCUGUUCGCCCAUUAAAGUGGCACGCGAGCUGGGUUCAGAACGUCGUGAGACAGUUCGGUCUCUAUCUAUCGUGGGCGCAGGAGUAUUGAGUGGUGCUGUCACUAGUACGAGAGGACCGUGACGGACAGACCUCCGGUGUACCGGUUGUGCCGCCAGGCGCACCGCCGGGUAUCCGCGUCUGGAUCGGAUAAGCGCUGAAAGCAUCUAAGUGCGAAGCUUUCCACGAGAUUAGAACUCCAUUGAGGGUCGUCGCAGACGACGACGUUGAUAGGGCGCAGGUGUAAAGACGGCGACGUCAAAGCCGAGCGCUACUAAUUGCUCA